UGGGGAAUAUUGCACAAUGGGGGAACCCUGAUGCAGCGACGCCGCGUGAAGGAAGAAGGUAUUCGUAUUGUAAACUUCUGUCGCAGAUGACGAAAAGAUGACGGUAAUCUGCAAGAAAGCACCGGCUAACUACGUGCCAGCAGCCGCGGUAAAACGUAGGGUGCUAGCGUUGUCCGGAAUUACUGGGUGUAAAGGGAGCGCAGGUGGCAGUGCAAGUUGGAUGUAAAAUCUACGGGCUCAACCCGUAUAAGCAUUCAAAACUGUGCAGCUUGAGUGAAGUAGAGGUAGGUGGAAUUUCCGGUGUAGCGGUGGAAUGCGUAGAUAUCGGAAGGAACAUCAGUGGCGAAGGCGACCUACUGGGCUUUAACUGACGCUGAGGCUCGAAAGCAUGGGUAGCAAACAGGAUUAGAUACCCUGGUAGU
rnacentral:rRNA from 1 species